UUCAGGAUAAACUAUUUAAGUUAUAGGAUUCAUAGCCCUAGGAAGAGAUUAUAUUUAUUCUCUCCUGAAA
rnacentral:tRNA from 1 species